AGCUCAGCAUGGCUCAGGAGGUCUCAGGAAACGUACAAUCAUGGUGUAAGGGGAAGCAAACAUGUCCUUCUUCACACAGUGGCAGCAAAGAGAAGUGCAGAGUGAAGCAGGGGAUGGGGGAGAGGGGAAAAGCCCCUUAUAAAACCAUCAUAUCUCGUGAGAACUCGCUGACGAUCACGAGAACAGCAUGAGGGUAACGGCCCUCAUGAUUCAAUUACCUCCCGCUGGGGCCCUCCCACGGCACAUGGACAUUACGGGAACUACAGUUCAAGAUGAGAUUUAGGUGGGGACACAGCCAAACCUAGCUGAAUCUCAGGAGGCAUACAGCAAACGAGGGGGAGCAGAACGCAUGAGCACAGGCACUGAUGCUGAGCUUUCAGCUUGCCGGACCCUCAAUCGAAAAUGUUCUACAGCUGGAAGGGAGUGUGGGUGGAUGGAUCCUCUGAGUCAGUUAAAUGGAGGUCAGCUGGAGAUGCCACUGCCAGGCAGAAGCUGCUAAUUCUCACCACAGAUAAUACUAUGAGUCAUGAAUGUGAUGACAUCAUGAAUCCUCCUGGACAGUGGCAAUCAUCAGCCCCCCAAGUGUGAGUGCCGGUGCCUUUCUUGGAGCUGAAAGCC
rnacentral:lncRNA from 1 species